CAGCAGCCACGGUAAUACGUGGGGUGCAAGCGUUAAUCGGAAUUACUGGGCGUAAAGCGUGCGUAGGUGGUGGUUUAAGUCCGUUGUGAAAGCCCUGGGCUCAACCUGGGAAUGGCAAUGGAAACUGGACGGCUAGAGUGUGUCAGAGGAUGGUGGAAUUCCCGGUGUAGCGGUGAAAUGCGUAGAGAUCUGGAGGAAUACCGGUGGCGAAGGCGGCCCCUGGACGAAGACUGACGCUCAGGUACGAAAGCGUGGGGAGCAAACAGGAUUAGAUACCCGAGUAGUCCCUGUCUCUUAUACA
rnacentral:rRNA from 1 species